GAGGCAACUCUGAACCAGCCAAGUCGCGUGAAGGAUGAAGGUCUUAUGGAUUGUAAACUUCUUUUGCAAGGGAAUAAAGUGGGGGACGUGUCCUCCUUUGCAUGUACCUUGCGAAUAAGGAUCGGCUAACUCCGUGCCAGCAGCCGCGGUAAUACGGAGGAUCCGAGCGUUAUCCGGAUUUAUUGGGUUUAAAGGGCGCGUAGGCGGAUCGUUAAGUCAGAGGUGAAAUCCCAGGGCUCAACCCUGGAACUGCCUUUGAUACUGGCGAUCUUGAGUAUGAGAGAGGUAUGUGGAACUCCGAGUGUAGAGGUGAAAUUCGUAGAUAUUCGGAAGAACACCAGUGGCGAAGGCGACAUACUGGCUCAUUACUGACGCUGAGGCGCGAAAGCGUGGGGAGCAAACA
rnacentral:rRNA from 1 species